rnacentral:tRNA from 1 species
UCCCUGGUGGUCCAGUGGUUAGGACUCUGUGCUUGCACUUCAGAGGGCACGGGUUUAAUCUCUGUUGGGAGAA